UGGGUGGCGGCCGCCAAGCACGGGUGAGUCCCGUCGUAGCGCCCUAUGGCCACCAUGCGGGGGCUGAUUUUGUGGCGCAGUUUCAGGGUGAACACAGGCAGCAGCAUGAUGGCGCCAGCUAGGGGCGGAAGACAGACUCCCCACGCAGGCGCAAGGUUGGCAGCUUGGCAGGCCGGUUGCCUAGCAGCGGAUAAAGUGUGCGAGGUAAAUACACCCGGAACUCCGGAACGCCUCAGGCCUGGCGCCGCAAGCGCG
rnacentral:lncRNA from 1 species